UACGUAGGGUGCGAGCGUUAAUCGGAAUUACUGGGCGUAAAGCGUGCGUAGGCGGUUUGUUAAGACAGGUGUGAAAUCCCCGGGCUUAACCUGGGAAUUGCGCUUGUUACUGGCAGACUAGAGUACGUCAGAGGGGGGUGGAAUUCCACGUGUAGCAGUGAAAUGCGUAGAGAUGUGGAGGAACACCGAUGGCGAAGGCAGCCCCCUGGGAUGAUACUGACGCUGAGGCACGAAAGCGUGGGGAGCAAACAGG
rnacentral:rRNA from 1 species